rnacentral:rRNA from 1 species
GAUGAACGCUGGCGGCGUGCCUAACACAUGCAAGUCGAGCGAAGCACCUUACUUGAUUUCUUCGGGAUGAAAGUAUUGUGACUGAGCGGCGGACGGGUGAGUAACGCGUGGAUAACCUGCCUCAUACAGGGGGAUAACAGUUAGAAAUGACUGCUAAUACCGCAUAAGACCACAGCACCGCAUGGUGCAGGGGUAAAAACUCCGGUGGUAUGAGAUGGAUCCGCGUCUGAUUAGCUAGUUGGUAAGGUAACGGCUUACCAAGGCAACGAUCAGUAGCCGACCUGAGAGGGUGAUCGGCCACAUUGGAACUGAGACACGGUCCAA